AAAGCUUUGAACGGCUGCGGCGGCAGUUACAGGGAAAUCAAAGCCCCUUCCUUGAAGACAAUUUUCUCCAUAACAAGGUUUUUUGGUAUCAAGAGGUAAGUUAAAUCUCCAAAACUAAUUUGUGCUUGCUAUAUUGAUGUUUUAUUAAUAUGAUUUGCAAAUUUAUCUGUUGUGAUUUUGUCAAUUCAAUCAUUCUUUACAAAUAUGUAAGCAGCAAGGAAUAGAACACUUCAAUUUAAAACUACCCCCAAUCUUAGGAGUUGGUAUAGUGUGUAAACAAUCAAUUAGAAAAAAAAUAAUCUGGUCGCUAUUGACGUUUUGGUACUAGAAUCAAACUUUUAGGGACUAUUUUUCGUUGUUAAUGCCUGGUUCUUUUGUAGUAAAACCAAAAAUCUAGCUUAUGAGCAGAAGAUUGUCCAAGACCAUAAAAUGAGAGAAACAACCCAUCUAUGUACCAGUUACUUAGGCUUUGUCAAUUGGAGCGUGAACAAUAUACCGUGAGGGUCCAUCAUUAUGAUACACUAUAAUAGGGAGGGAUGGAUCUUGCUCUGAUAGCAUGUUAAGAAAUGGACCUUGGACCUAACUCAACUCCAAAGCUAGCUCAUGACGGGGAUUGUCCAAGACCAUAUAAUGAAAUAGAUAAACAAUCUAUCCAUCUAACUAGGAAGGAGAAGACACUGAGAUAACAAAUCAGUGAGGAGGGCUUUGUCCGAGUUGGAGCUCCAUGUCAGCAACAAUAUAAAUUUUUAAAGCUGGUUUUAUCCGAGGUGGAUCUCCGUUAGUGGGGAGGGGCUUAAGUGCUACACUUGGCUAACGGCAAGGGCAAUUUUGGUCCAAAAACAAAAUGGACAACAAAAUUGUGUUAUUUCAGUAGUUCAGAGAUAUUUUUUACCCUUUUCCCAAUACUCAAUGAUUAUAAUAGAUAGAAGGCCCUGAUGAGGCGUAAAAACUAAUUGUCCAAAAAAAAAAACUAAUGAGGUUAAGAGACAUUGUUAUCAGAGAUAAGUUUCUAUAUACCUUGAUAAAUGAAAGACUUGAACGUGUGAUUUUAAAUAGAAAUCAUGAUAUACGAAGUAUUGAUUACAAAGUGAAAUGCAAAAAGAAAAUAACGAUAGUGAUAUUCUGAAAGAUAACGGAACCACUCUGACAUACAAUUUAUUUCAUUUGAGAGAAAUAGGAUUUGCCUAUGAAUUUGUGAUGGUUGACACACCAAAUUUAAAGUUUGAUCCUCUUAGCUUUUCUUUUGUGAUAUGAUCCAUUCUUUCUAUCAUGUUAUCUGUUAGAUGAUUCUUCCAAUCUCCAGGCUUACCCUUCCUGAAAUAGGCGCUGUUAUCUAUCUGCAAAGAGGAUAUUGGCCGAUCCUGCCCAUUCUUAAUCACCUCCAAAUUGCUCAAGUUGUCAAAACUACAUAAUUUGAAAAUCCUUUCUGGUAACCCUUCUCCCUCUUCGUCCCUUGAAAAUGGUUUUCCCAUGAACUCAGCCAAUUUUCUCACGUAGAACAAUGUGUCUUUUGUUAAUUCUUCAUAUUUGAGAAACAAUAGUGAUUCUGGCUUGUCUAAACUUUGUUUCCAGUACCCCAAAACAUGAUCCCAGUACGGUCCCCACAUUGUUUUCCCUUCACAGAACAACUCGAACCCUUCCUCAAAGGAAAUUAACAAUUCUGUUGUUUCAUCCAACUCUCCUUGCUGCAGCCAUGUAAAUCUUUGCAUGAAAUGCCAAAGAGAAAUGAAAGUGUCCUUGGGUUCCCUGCACAAGUAAAUCAUCUUUGUACUGUCCAGGGACUGGACAGAUUUGGGUAAAGCAUCAAAUGGUAUAUGUGUGGCUAUAAG
rnacentral:lncRNA from 1 species